UUUUUUUUUUUUUAAUGGAAUUUUUCAGUUUGGAUUUUUUUUUUUUGGAGAAGAAAAAGGAAAUAUAAUUAAACAACAUUGCUAGGCAUAGAAAUAGCAAAACAAGCUAAUUCAUAUCAUCCAUGACAGCUGUUACACCCUUUGUUGACCGUAACUCUUAUAACUCAUGUUAAGAACUGUUUCUUCCCCACUAUCUUCCCUUUUCUCAGCUAGCCGACGGCUCCUCGAAACUCUCCUCUUGGUUUUCUUAGCUCCCUAACCUUCAACAGCUUCUUUCACACCAGAAUUCUGGAGAUAUUGACCUCAAAUUUUCAAGUAUAAGGACUGCACAAACAAACUUUUGCCAAAAUAAGGUCACUUUCUUUCAUCUCGUAUGCCUUUCUUUGAAUUUUAAUUUAUUUUAGAACCAGAAAUUUUUUACAUCUACGACAACAAGAUCGUUAUGCUUUUUGAGUAAUUUGCUUGGAUCUACAACAUUUAGUUUCAUUAUUUAAAAAAAAAAGGGGUAUAAUUUCUGCAUUUUUUAAAUAAAGCAAGAUCCUCGAAUGUAAAAUUUGUAUCAGUGACCACCAACUCUUUCAUGUAGGACAUGUUUUAUUAUUCCAUAAAAGUGUUCCUGUAGGUGGUUAUUGAAUUAAUAUAUUGCAUACUUAAUUCAAUUCUUGGUUUACUUGUUUGAAA
rnacentral:misc_RNA from 1 species